GACGAACGCUGGCGGCGUGCCUAAUACAUGCAAGUCGAGCGAAGUUUUUCUGGUGCUUGCACUAGAAAAACUUAGCGGCGAACGGGUGAGUAACACGUAAAGAACCUGCCUCAUAGACUGGGACAACUAUUGGAAACGAUAGCUAAUACCGGAUAACAGUAUUUCUCGCAUGAGAGAUAUUUAAAAGUUGGUUAUGCUAACACUAUGAGAUGGCUUUGCGGUGCAUUAGCUAGUUGGUGGGGUAAAGGCCUACCAAGGCGACGAUGCAUAGCCGACCUGAGAGGGUGAUCGGCCACACUGGGACUGAGACACGGCCCAGACUCCUACGGGAGGCAGCAGUAGGGAAUCUUCCGCAAUGGGCGAAAGCCUGACGGAGCAACGCCGCGUGAGUGAAGAAGGAUUUCGGUUCGUAAAGCUCUGUUGUUAGGGAAGAAUGGAUAUGUAGUAACUAUACAUAUAAGAGACGGUACCUAACCA
rnacentral:rRNA from 1 species